rnacentral:lncRNA from 1 species
UUUUUUUUUUUUUUUUUUUUGUACGGAACAAAAGGAAUUCUAAUGAAAAUAUUUAGAAUGCAAGAUAUCUGAAUGAUAUUUUCUUAAAUCUCAAAAAACUUAAUGGGAUCUAAGAUAAGAAUAACAUAUAGAAAAUUACCCCCAAAAAAAAUUAGCUGAAUGGGCUUCAGCAUCUUAGAAUAAAAUUAAUGUUAAUUUAUGAAUAAAAUCCCUAACACAUUUGUUAUUCCUUAACACAUGACUUUAGGAUACUAGAUCAUAUCGUAACGCUCUUCCUGUGUUAUUCCGGGUUUGAAAGGCCUUUCGAACAUCCCUGAAACAUACAGGGCAAGUUCCAUAAAUGUCUUUAAUUUUCUCCCUAGUUGCUACUUAAUUAAAAUUCUAUGUUGGAAACACUAUGAUUGAGGGUCAAGGUGUGUGACAUAUAACUUUUAAGAUUAACUUCUUAUGAUUGAUAGUGUACUGAUUUUUUUUUUACACUAGAUAUAUUCCACAUAUCCAUGAUAUGAAUUUUAAAUUUGAAUUUAUAUUAUGUAGCAAUGAUCUAAAUCUGCUAGUAUAUAAAAAAAAAAUACCAUUGACAGUAUAUAAAAAACUUACUCUAAAUUUUACUCAAGCCCUCAUUAGUUCCCCUUGAUCCAGUUGGAGCCUUCCUUAGAUAGGUUAGAGUAGGAGUAGGAGUAAUGUAAAAAUUGCCAAUUGAUCAAAAAAACAUUAUUUUUUUUACUCAAGUAUAAAAUCAUCUUUUUACACCUGUAUAGAAAAGAUUAAUCAUUGAUUAAAAAAAAUCCAAGACUGCAUGAUUCAAUAGGGGGAUGAACUUGCAAUUCAUGGCUUUUUACAUAUAUGCCUUCACUUCCUGGACGGGUGGCAACUUCAAUGUGGCUCUUUGCAAAAUAGCUUGUUUUAUUUCUUUCUUAAUUCUUGCUCAAUUUGGCAUUUUCUCUUUUCCUGUCUUUAGUAUGACAAGCUCAUUUUGAUGAACAUAGUAGACAUUUUCUGCAUCUCGAGUCUCUUCUUCCUUCAGCCUUGACCUAUCACAGCGUUUGCUAGGUGGACAUCCAUCCGAGAACUGCCAUUAUCAAUUAGCUGCUGAAACCUUUUGCACAAACAAUGCAGCAUCUGUCUUGGCUGCAACUAUUUGAUAAUGAGCUUAAGGUCAAUCGGCAACAGUAAUCAGGUGUAAAUGAUAAAUUGUACAAUACUAAGUAAACUGUGAUUGCAUAUCAUCUAUGUCAAGAACUUGGUUUUAGGUGGGCAUAAUAAUUAAUACAGCAGUUAAAAUGGUCUUCCCAAAUGUUUAUUAAACACCAUGAAUUAGGAAACGCAUUAUAGAACAUAAAUCACAUUCCCAAGUACAUGAUCCAAUUUGCUAAAAAUAUAAAAGGAACGAAAGAACUUAAAGUGUCAAGAUUGGAACAAAAUCAGCUUUCAAGGCUCCAAUAACUACUCAAAGAAGAAUAGGCUAAGCUGUAUCGAUAUCUGCCAAUCCUAUUUGCAGCAUUCUCUCAAUCAUUCUUGCCGCUGCUGCCAUUUAUUUCCUUGUUAAACGGUGGGAGAGGAUUAACAAGGAAUGAUUUCAAAUGUCUGUAAAGCUCCUUGGACGUCUCUAUAUUGAUUGCAUACCCUGCGUUCUUUAUUAUUAUCAGUUCUGAAUAUUGAGGCUGUUGAAGUUCGCAUUGUCAAUGCCAAAAAUUUCAACCAAAGGUGAGAAUUCAUUAUAGUGAAGGCAACUUCUUUAACUGCCCUAAACUUGGGACAGAAAGGUUUGAUGUAUCACAUGAGCGUUCUUCCAUGCAAGUUAGACGCAACAAAGCUGGUCAAAUUAAGUUUCUAGCAAUAAUUAAGAUAAAGAACCAUGAUUUAAAAUUUAUACAAUAAUUAGAAAAAAGGUAAGGAAAGGUCUGUGAAAAUAGAUGAGAUGUCAAUAUCUUUGUUGCAACAGUAAAUUUGUUAAAAAUAACCCAUCAUCCUCCCCUCUUCCCUCCUUUGCGCUGCAACCACUAUCUCCCCCCCUUCUCCUCUCUCCUCUGUCCCCCUCCUCUCCCUCCCCCUCCCUCUUCAUCUCUCUUUUCCUCCCCUCCCUUCCAUCCUCCCUCCACCCUCUUCCCCUCUCCUCUCUUCUGCUCCCUUCCCCUGCCCCCCACCGUGAAGCUAGGAAAGGCGGUUGGUGGAGGGUGGAGAAAAGGAGUGGAGGGGAAUGGUGAGAGAAGGGACGGGUGAAUGGGGAGGGAGGAAGGAAGGGAGGCUAGUAAGAGGUAGAGGGAGGAGGAAGAUGGAUGGGAGGAAGAGGAAGAAAAGGGUGAGAGGAGGGGAGAGGUGGCGGUGAAGAAGGAAGGAGAAAAGAGGUGGUGGAUGGUGGUGCAUAGUGGGUGAAAAAAGAAAAAUUGGUAGAAUUUGUUACUUGUUAUUUUUCUUAUUUUUAUAAGUUAUAUUUGAUAUUGUGUGCUUUUUGAAUUAUUUUUGGAGUUUGUUAUUAUACACCCCACAAAAAAACAAAACAAUUUGUAAGAAAAACACUCAAUUCCAGCAAAGCCAAUACAUUUUAGCAUGAGAUCUUGGAUCCAUUUUCAAGUUAAACCCGUCCACUUUAUCCAAUCUUCCUUUGAAAAAAAUGUCAUGUAUUUGAUGUUAUUCUCAUGUUAAGUUGAAAUAAUCUUCUAUUGUUGAUGAAAGUAUGCACAAAUCUUGAGCUCAAAUCAAUUUGAAUCACCUUGGUGAGCUUUAACUUAGUAUCACCAACAUUUAUUGUGCUGUGCAUUUGGAAUGGUGAGGUUAUUUUUCCUGGUAAAUCAAAAGUGGGUUGAGUUCGAGUCGAGCCACAAAGUUAAAAGUCUAAUCAUGAAAUCUUAUUGUCACCUUACUAAUAUUCCAACUAGUUGUGUUUUAAGAAUGAUAACCUAAAAUUUGAAUAACCCAAUAAAGACAAAUAGCCACUCGUUAAUGAUAUGGUGAGUAAACAAAAAAUCAUCUCAUAUCUAAUAAAAACUUGACAUACCCUACAUUUCCAUUGAUCUUUAACUUGAUCUCAUAGCACAAUUUCACAAUUAUAUGAAAUAACACAUAUGGUCAACUGCUGGAGUAAGACUAACAUGAACAAAAGCCCCACACUUAUUUUGAGAUGAGAAUUAAUGUUAGAAUCUUACAAAGAAUCCGACAGAUGCAUGCGAUGUCGGAUGCGUAGACAACCAAGAAACUGCAAGUUAAUCUUCAUUCCUCUCUCACACUUGUAUCCAUAUAUAUAUAUAUUAGUAAUAGUUCACGUGCAAAGCACGUGAUUGUAAUAUUUUAAAAUAUAUUAUUCUUUAGAUACUAAAUUUUUUUUUAUGAAAUUUUGAUAAUCAACAUCAUAACAUAGCAUUUUUAUGUUAUUUAUUUUUUUAAACUAGUUACUUUUAAAAACUUUAUUAAAUGAAAAGAGAUAAAAAAAAUCCCAAUGUAGUUGACUCCCUUAGGAUUGAAUUUGGAAUUAUGAACCGAACACUUUUUGAUUUAUAAUUUGAACUCUAACAUAUCAAAUAUUGAUAAUAUCAUGUUUUACCAAAAUUAUUGUAUAUUCAUGAUUCUAUUGCACAAAAACCACAAUCAUUACAAUUUUUUAUAAAUGAAGAAUAUAAUUAAGUUAGAAAAAUAAACAUAUACGUAAUUUGAAUUCUUUGUAUUAUAUUAAUUAUAUUUUUAUCAAUAAUGGAGUAUAAAUGAUCCAUCACAUAAAGUUUUUUUGGCUUAUACAUUCUGACAAUUAAAAUUUGAUAGAUAGAGAUAGUUGAAGUUUUUCUAUUUUUCUUUUCUUUUAUGCAUAUUUUUAGCACAAUCCAAUGCGGAGCAAAAACAACAAGUCUACUUUUUUCAUAUGAGUACAAUAUUUUUUGUUUUAUAAUGUUUUUUCUGAUAAUCAUGCAAUUGGAAUGAGAAUUAUGGGUAAUUAACAAUUUUAAUAUUAAUUUUUUGUAUAUUGCAAUGUUAUAUUUUUUAAUUGCUGACUUUUAAUCCAUAACCGGUAUCAUUAUUAUCAAUUAUUGGAAUGCACUAAAUCUAUCUAAUUACAAUUGUCACCAUAAAUAAAAUUUACUUAAUUUUAAAGUUUUGCAUUUCAUAACCUCUUCCAUUAUUCACUAAUAUUUCAAUGCAAUAAAUAUAUGUGAUCAUUAGAAAAAUAAGGGUAUUUUGAGCAUAACCAAUAACAAUUUGGAUAUCAUUUUCAUUUUAUCAAUCCUCAUUUUAAGUUUACUCUUAUUAUAAUUCUUAUUUUAUCAUUAGAGAUGGCUUUUGAUUUGGUGGAUGGACUUGGUUUGCUCAAACCAAUACAAAUGAAGCAUUACUAUAUUAUUGUCAAUAACAAUGUUUGUCUUUCCUUGGAUAUCAAUAAUUUGGAAGUUAUCUUUGGUAUUAUUUGAAUUGUAUUCUAGUUUUUUAAUUCAUUUGCUAUUUACUUUAUGUCAUUUUAUAAAUAGUUUUCAAUUUUUUUCAGUUCUUCUUGUUUUGAUCGGUUGCUAUUAAUGAUAAUAGUGGUUUGUAUGGUGCUAUGUUAUAUUUCUUAUUUCUAGUUUAAUACUACUAUUUCAGUUAUAAAGGUGUCAUCAUUUUUUGGUGCAAUAUGAAAAAUUCUUCAUCAUUACUAUAGAAAAACUAUGAAUCUUGGUAAAAAGUGCACAAUUGUAAAAUUUGCUUGUGAUGUUUGUAUAAAGAUAUACAGAUGAAUAAGGAUUCUCUUCUCCUUAUACGUUUCUCCAUUUUCUAGAGAAUAUCUAUUUUUUGACAUUGAUUUUUCUUUUACAAUCUCAACUAAUGACUAAUAAGAAAUUUUUCAUACUUCAAUUAAGAAAUUUUGAUAUGUAUAAUAAUUGGAGAUAGAGUCUAAGGGUAGGUAAAUAGUUUUAAUUAUAAUUACCAAUACUAUUAAGAUGUAAUCAAUUGGAGGUUUUAUUUCUUUUCAUUAGUGCCACAUUAAAAUGAAAUAAUUCUAAUAAAAAGACAUAAAAAGGUAAUUGGGGAUAACAAAAACUAAGAUAAAAAAGUGCUUACACUUAUACUUCCUCGUACCAAGAUUCAUACUUUUUAUAUAGUACAGGUAAAAUACCAAAAACUCCCUGUGGUUUGACAAAUAUUCAAUUUAACUCCCUCUGACUUGAAAACCUACACUAUAACUCCCUAUGAUUUUGAUUAAAUUGAAAAUUGGACAUAAAACAUCAAAUCUAACGGUUGUGUGUGAAAUGUCAAUAUUGUCCUAGUAUACGUGAGAUGCUUUCCAUUCAAUUUUCAAUUUAGUCGAAAUCAUAGGGAGUCUUAGUAUAAUUUUUCAAAUCUGAGGGAGUUAAAUUGAAUAUUCAACAAAUCAUAGGGAAUUCAUUUAUAUAAGGGCAAUAUUGACAUUUCAUGUAUAACUGUUAGAUUAGAUGCUUUCCAUCCAAUUUCAAUUUAGUUGAAAUUACAGAGAGUUAUAGUAUAGGUUUUCAAACUAAAGGGAGUUAAAUUGAACAUUUAGCAAACCACAAGGAGUUUUUGGGUAUUUUACCCAUAUAGUAAUGAUAAUGAUAAUGAUAUAUAUAUAAAUAUAUAUAUAUAUAUUUAUGAAAUUUCAGAUAUUAAAUUGCCUGCAAUACUGACUAAGAUGAAAGAAAGCUAAAAGAAUAAAGAAGCGUUGCUGCAUUAGACGUAACAGUCAUGAAUCAUGACGGCCACUGCAAUACCACAGACAAAUCAACAAAUCGCUAGAGGAAUAAUGCAGUUAUAGAUGAAGAAAAAGAAAAGAUGAUUCUGUAAUAUUGUCCGGAAACUGGGGCAGCAUGGAAACCAAUUUUGCUUAUUCUCAAGUUUUUUCGAUUGAAUUGGACCUGGACUUAUCUUCGAUGAGUGGAGAGAUCUAAGAGAAUUAUUGAUUGGUCUUAAAGGGAUUUGCAAGUCGAUGGGGGAAUUAUAUGUUGUUUAACACUUCCGUUUGAACACUUCUUUGUCUGAAAAUGAUAUGAAUUUGUACAGUCGAUGUUAUUCAACCAUCUAUCUAGUUGUUGUUUUUGGACUUUAGGCCUACAAUAUUGUACACCAGAAAAGAAAAUUUCAUUCCAAAUAAUCAUGAAAUACUUUUCUGUCUUCAAUCAACCAAUUCAGAACAUUUCAAUCGAAUCUUAGAACUUUUCUGGUUCCCAAAACACAGGCUCUUUGUUGCUGCUAAGGUUGUCCACUUAAAAAGUUUAUUCAGGUCAUCGAUCCUUUCCAACCACGUAUCAACUUUGCACCAAAACACCCCCCCACAAAACAAAACAAAAAAAAAAACCUUUUAGCAUCAUCACUACCACUGUACUACCACCCAUGUCAAAGGUAGGAGAAAAUAAUUCUGCAUGGUCUUUGUCGGGAAAAACAGCUCUAGUUACCGGUGGAAGUCGAGGAAUUGGCCGUGCAAUUGUGGUGGAGCUAGCUCAACUUGGUGCCACAGUCCACACCUUUUCGAGAAAAGAAGCAGAUCUGAAUGAAUGCUUGCAAGAAUGGUCCUCCAAGGGAUUCAAAGUGACUGGUUCAGUCUGCGAUGCAUCUUCAAGAGAGCAAAGAAAUCAGCUCAUCGAAAAGGUCUCUUCCAUCUUCAAUGGGAAGCUCAACAUCGUUGUAAACAACGUUGGAACAACCAAAAUGAAGCCAGCUGAAGAGUUUACCUUGGAAGAAUAUGACAUGAUCAUGUCUACAAAUCUUGAAUCUUCUUUCCACUUUUCCCAACUCGCUUAUCCUCUCCUAAAAGCCACUGGGAUUGGAAACAUCGUCUUCAUUUCUUCUAUUGCUGGCUUGGUCAGUGUAGAAGGUGCAUCUGUUUAUGCAGCAACAAAAGGUGCAAUGAAUCAACUCACCAGGAAUUUGGCUUGUGAAUGGGCUAAAGAUAACAUUCGCGUAAAUUGCCUUGCACCUGGGGCUAUUAAAACCCCAUUAACGGAAUCUGUGCAGGAUUAUGAUGAAAAAUUGAAGAAAAUGGAUGCAAGAACCCCAAUGAAUCGAGCUGGAGAACCAGAAGAGGUUUCAUCCCUCGUUGCUUUCCUUUGUCUGCCAGCCGCUUCCUACAUAACCGGACAGGUUAUAGCUGUCGAUGGAGGACUGACUGCAAAUGGAAUCCAGUGGAAUUAAUCAUUAAAGGCUCUAUCUUGCUACUGAUGCAAUAGUUCACCAAGAUCUAGUGUUUAAUCUAUACGUAUUUUGUUGUAAAAGGAAGGUAUGUGCUCGGUUUUUAUAGUAAGAAAUUGAGAAUUGACUCGUAUGAAUUCUCAAUUGGUCUACUCUGCACCACUGCUAUAUUGCACAAGUAUGUAAUUGUGACUAUUCUAAUAGUAUCUCUAGCUAAUUUGCCUAUUGAUUUAUGGGUUAAUUCUAGUACUAUGUUGAUUACUCUUCACACUUUUAUCAAAAGGUAGCAUCUAAACGGCGGAGUGCUUAUCAUGAAAAGCAUACACUUGGAAGGGCAAUUGCUGAUCUCCCAGUCUGACUUCCACCUACAGAGAUCAUGGCAGCUGCAUUGUUAUUAGAGGCGGCAAAAUGGGUGAUUUGAGCGAGUUUGGGUUGGGUAAAAUGAGUAAUGGGUAUAAGUGAGUCAACCCAUUUAUAUCCAUUUAAUUAGAUGGGUAUAAAUGGGUAAGUCAAAAAAUGAGUUGGAUAAUCCAAUUAUUCUAAUUUUUUAGAAGCUCAUAUAAAUUCAUUUUGUAAACUAAAUUAUCAAUUUAUACCAUUUUACACCAUCAUUAAUUUUAACUAUACAGGAGCUCUGUAAUUACAUUUACUCGUGCAAGUGGACAAACUUGUCUAUUUGAACCUGCUUUCAAACAACUGUGCUCUCUAUGUGGGAUGCCUUCAUUGCAAAUGAAGGUGCAAAGAUCAUGGCAGAUCUUCAAAACCAUCCUGCUAUUAUUGGAAGAAGGUUGUAUGGUCCAGAAUUACAACGGUAGCUGAAACAUUCUUUUGGGACCGUUCCUGCAGGUUAUUAAUUGAUACAUGUGUUUGUUUUGACGGCUAUCAACGAGAAGCUUUCCCUUCUUCCUGUCAAAGCUUUUUUGCCAAACUGUUAAAUUUCCAAGGUUGGUUUAUUCAUUUAACUAAAUAUUUUGCAGGCCGUAUGGGUAAAAGUCUCGUUCUCUUUUGAGCGCAUAUCUUUGAAAGGUUUUGGUACAUGGCCGGUGAGAAAUGUUUUUCCGCUCUACAAGUGCCGAUCAUGGAGUUGCAUUUAUGUUAUUCAGUCCUUUUCCCCAUGCAGCGCCAAUAUCUAUCAUUUGAUCCUGGGCAUAUUUGUAAUUUACCACCGUACGCGAGUACGAGUACGAGUACGAGUACUGUGAUCUCUCCUAGUUUUAAUAAAUGCUUCCCUAAUUGGUUGGUCAACAUUUUGUAGAUUGAUUAAGGAAUCUAGUCAGAAAAAUUGGGAAUGAAGCAUAAUGUAUUAAUUUAGAUGACAUUAGAAUUUUAUGAUAAAGAAAAUUACUAAAAAAAGGAUUUCUUUUUUUCUUCUUUUAAACUCAUCUUUCACCUAUAAUUUGUAAAGUUUAUGAAAACUAUCAUAAUCUUUUCAUUGCAUCAAGGGAGAUAAGUGUAAUUUUACAAGACCUCAUGGGAGGUGACCACAAUUGUUAGAAACCUCCACGGAGGUUUCUGAAAUUAGACAUUAUUUUGAAGAUAUGAUUUGUUUCAUUGUAUUGGAUGACACUGGAUGACUAUUUUCCACAUUUUUUUUGUUUAGGUAAGUUAUCAUCUCGGAGAAGAUCCAUUUGGACUGUUGAUUGGUCCAGUUAGACUGUUGAUUGGGCUAGCCGGGGCCCAAUUUCCUACAAGUGUUGCGAAUUUUAUAUACGUGAACUUCAAUGGGCACGUCUUCGGGCCGAAACAUUGAGCUCAAAUAAAGAAUACCAGCUUAAGUUGGGAGUCUAAAAUUGCUGCAGUGUGAAGUAUUUUCAAAUAACGACAUAAAAUUCAAGAAAAGUAACAUUCAUCCACUAAAAAUAUGUUGAAAGUCUUUAGUUCAACCAACAUUACUAAUUAAAGCACAUAUGAUGUCUACCUUUCUUUUUCCAUGAUUGUUUUUUCCAUUGAAAACUGGAAUUUUGUGCUUUUUACGUUACAUGAAUUUCACCAGGUCGUAGUGUGAAGCAACUCAUAAACCAUCCUCAAAAUGAUUAUCAAAAAAGAAAUAAAUCAAUUUUCUUAACAGCUUCCCAAGUGAAAAGCUUUAAUUUGGGCACAGGUGAUCCCAAGUCCCAACAAAGUAUUGGAGUCUUGUCUGCCAGGACAAUGGAGGAGUUAGAGCUACUUCUCCCCAACAAUGGGAACAAAUUCCUCUUCUUCUCCUAAAAUAAUAUAGGAAAAUUUAAUUAAAAAAAAUAAAAUCCAAGUUUGAAACCAUAGAUUCCAAUUCUUAAGAGCCUAAGAAUGGAUAGAAUUUUUUGAUGUUAAGACCAUGGACGUAUCAGACCAAAAGCUAUUCUUAGUAUUGUCAGCCAAAGCUUUUAUCUAUCAAAUUACCAAGCUCACAAGAUGCAGAACAUGCCCGACAGAAAAUAGAAUUAAAUGGUACACAUAUAGGCAAAACACAGAAAACAAAGAACUUCAAAUUUUUUCUGGAAAGUAAACAUUUGCCUUGAUAAGGUAUAUGGUCCACUCAGCUAUUCUCCUAUUCAAAUCCAUAGACAGUCAUUCCUCCAUCUACAGCUAUAACUUGGCCGGUGAUAUAGGAAGCAGCCGGCAGACAAAGGAAAGCAACCAGGGAGGAGACUUCUUCUGGUUCUCCGGUUCGCCUCAUCGGAGUUCUUGAUUCUACCCUCUCCUCGUAUUCUUUGUCACUCAAUUUCUCUUCAACUAAUGAGGUUCUAAUAAACCAUGGCGCAACAGAAUUAACCCGAAUAUUAUCUUUAGCCCACUCACAAGCCAGAUUUUUGGUGAGUUGAUUCAUUGCACCUUUUGUCAUUGAAUAAACAGAUAAAUGGUGCACAUGUACCAGGCCUGCGACUGAGGACAUGAACACGAUGUUCCCAAUCCCAGAUGCUUUCAGAAGCGGAUAAGCGAGUUGAGAGAAAUGAUAACCAGAAUCAAGAUUUGUAGACAUAAUCAAAUUAUACUCUUCAGCAGUGAACGCUUCAGCUUGCCUGAAUACAGCUGUUCCAACGUUGUUGACGAGGAUAUUGAGCUUCCCAUUGAAGAUGGAAGAGACCUCUCCGAUGAGCUGAGUUCUUUGCUCUCUUGAAGAUGCAUCACAGACCGAACCGGUGACUUUGAAUCCCUUGGAGGACCACCCUUGCAACCGUUCAUUCAGUUCUGAUUCUUUUCUUGAAAAAGUGUGCACUUUUGCUCCCAGUCCGGCUAGUUCCUCCACGAUUGCACACCCUAUUCCUCGAGUUCCACCGGUGACCAGAGCUGUCAUUCCAGAUAGAGACCAUCUUGAACUAAUUUUUCCUACGGUACUUUCCAUGAUUGAUGGUGGGAUGAGCCUCAAGAUGUCAAAAGCCUGAUCUUGAUAUAGAGAUUUUUGGCAAAUAACUUGUUAAGAUAAUGCAACAUCCCAUUUUAUCGAGAAGGGUUAGGUUAGGUGAUAAGAUGUGAUGAACUGUAAUAGAAAGUUAUCGACUCAUGGGUUCAAGACUUUCCACUUAAAAAAAAGGGAAAAUCAUUCAGAACGUUCAUUUCUUUUUGUAAAUUAACUUUUUUCGUCCCUCACAUUUAAAAGUAUAAUUUUAUAUCCUUUAUAAAUUCACAUUGAUCAAAUUUGCUCCUUAUCUAGGUUUCUGACUAGUUUUUAAUCGGAAUCCAUCACGUGUCUUACAUGUGAUAAUUUUUUAAGAGUAAAAUUGUCAAAUCAAAUUUUACAUAAUCCGAUUCAUAGUCCCUCACAUUUCAUAAAAUGAAUUUUUUCAUCCUUCAUUGAAACAUUUCAUAGCCAACCGCAGAGUAAGCGCAUAAAAGUUGGAGAUUAGGGCGGAGUGAUCCUACUCAAUCUCAACCAUGCAUUUAAAAAUCAAUACUAAGAUCAAGUCAACCCAUUCUAACUAAGAUCUCCAAUCAACUACUCCCUCUCUGUAUUAAUAUGUUUGUCGCUUUUCAUGAAUCCAACAUUUUAAAAAUAGUGUUUUGAUUAUAAUGUUUGUAAAUUUUUUUUUAAUUUUACCUCCCAAAUUUCAAAAUUUUAAAUUUGAAUAUGAAAUGUGUAUGAAUAGAGGAAUGGGCAACAAUGACAAUAGGCUAAAAAUGAUUCUGACUUAUGUAACACGACAAACAUUUUAAAACAUUUCAAAUGUAAAACAUGACCAAUAUUUUGGUAAUUUUUUUUUUCAGAAAUAAUAACAAUUGUGUUAGGAAUUAGUAGAUAUCGAUACCUUAUUAUAUCAAAUAGAUAAAUUCAGUCAAAGACAGCUAAUUAACACUUUAUUUUAUUUAAUUGUCAAUCAAAGUUAUAUGUAUCAAAGCAAGGUUGUAUAAGACAAUAUUCUAGUCAAAUUGGAGCAAUUAACCUACUUUGACUAGUUAAUACGCAGCAAAAAUAUGCAAUAGCUCAUGAUUCCAACCUAUUCUUAAUCAUCCGACAAAGGGCGACUAGUCCUUUUCUAAGAUGACAGAAGACCAAUCAUAUACAUUCUUUUGCUAGAAGGAAGGGGCAAGUCCAAUAACUCGGCAAGAAACCAUUUUUCUUUCUUUGGGGCCAAAGACAGUAAGAAACUGUGGUUGAAAUAAGACAUGUACCACCAAGCACUGGAAGAGAGAGAGAGAGAGAGAGAGAGAGAGAAGAACUGUACAUAACAAAUAUCUAGCCUUCGACCCCAUAGACUUAAACUAGGGAUAAUUGCAGAAACCUCCCUUCAGGUUUGUAAUAGUUGCAUUCACCUCCCUCGAGAUUUUAAAAAUAGCACUAACAUCCCCUGAACUUAAGUUUUUUGAUAGCAAAUUCAGCCUAUAUCAGAGAAAAUGCCAUUAAAAAAAUCUUUUCAGAAAUAAGAUAAUAAUUUUGUUCCAUUUGUUAUCUUUUUGUCUCUUGUAAGGCUGUAUUAGUAAAAGAAUGAAAAAUAUUAAAAAAUGAAAACAAUUAGUGAAACACUUAGGGUGCAAUAGCAACAACUAGAAGAAACAAUGAGCAUACGUUCAGAAAUUUGAGAUUCUAAAGCAUAUAAAAUGUACAAACAACUCCAAAAACUCUCCUUUACUAAAGAAACUUUUUAAAUUAAAUUGAGAUGACAAUGGAUUACUUACCAAUUAUCUCCUGAUUGCUGUAAAUUUUUAACAAAAAAAUCCUUAGAUUUUGCCUUGAUUUCUGCCUUCUUUCUCCUAUCAUUUUAUGAAUACUUAAGAUAAAGUAAGAUAAACCAAAACCACUGGAACUUCUUCUUCCUUGUUUGGAGGUUGUUUUCCCCUACAUUUUUCUUGUUUCUGCUUCUCUUCUACACAAAUAAUAUAUAACUUGGACUGUCCUCUCAAGUGCUGUCAAUCACAAAAUAAUGCCAUAUCGGAGCAUCAAUUUGCGUCAUUUUGUAAAUACACUUACAAUGUUUAAUCAAAUAAGAAAUAAUAUUUAAUCUUGUUUAAUUAGUUACCCUAAACUUGUUAAUUGCCCUAAUUUUUUUUGCCCCAAAUUUGUUUACAAACAACCUUAAACUCCAAGGGUAUGUAAGUAAAUUCACCCUAUAUUGCAUUAGCUAUAAACCCCAAAUUCAUGCUAGGGAGGUAAGUGCUAUUUUCAAAAUCUCAUAGGAGAUUAAUGCAAUUGUCAAAAACCUUAGGGAAGGUUUCUGCAAUUAUCCCCUUAUACUAUAGGCUGGACCUUUGCCCGCGAUGAGAUACUUGCACACCAAUGAUUGUCAGUACUCUGUAGGUUUCACACUCAGCAUAAAAGGCUGGGGUAUUCAGCAUUUUUUGGAUUAUUAUCAUUUUACCUCCUUAACGUUCAGUGUUAUGAUUAAUUUCUCCCUUAACGUUACCUUUAAAUCACUUUACCCCCAAAACUAAUGGUCAAACUUAAUGGAGUUUGUUAAUUAAAGUGAAAAGACAUGUUUAGCCCUUAAAAUUAUUAUCACUUUACCCUCUCAUAAACUAUAGUUUCAUUAUCAAUUUACCCACUAGUGUUAUUUUUUAAGCAAUUUAUCCUACUAUUAAACCAACUUAGUAAGUUAAAAAAACUUUAGAAGAAAGUACCCUACUCUUUGUAUAAUAAAAAUAAUAAAAAAUUUAGAGUGACUCUUUUCCUUUUUAAUAUUAAGAAAAAGGUCAAAGUAAUCUCUUUCUUCUUGGCAAUCUUAUUAAUAUUGCAAAAAAAAUAGGAAGAUGGGGAAGGGGAAGGGGAGGAGGAGAGAGAGAAAGAGAGAGAGAGAGAGCUCAAUUCAUUUUUUAAACAAAUAUAAAUAAAAAAGAAUUAAAUACUUUUAUUAUUUUAAAAUUAUUUCACUUUUCUGUUUAUUAUCAAAUUUCAAUUCUAAUCUCGACAACUUUAAAGUAAUACGAUAAUGUUAGACUUUUUUUAUUUUUUUCUUUGCAAAAUCUAAUUUUUUGUCUUCUUCUUUCUUAUCUCUUUUUCUUUUCCUAGUAUUAAUAAGUGUGAAAAAAGAAAUUUGAGAAAACCUAUUUAUUUUUAUGUUUUUGGAUCUCUUAAAGUGAAAAAAAAGGAAGAAUUACAAUUUCAACUGUUUUAUAUUUAAUUAUAUAUAAAAGGGUAAAUAUAUUUAAAAAAUUUUACCAUACUAGUUAGAUUAACGAUGAGCUAAAAUGUCUAGAAAAUAAUGUUAGUAAUUUAAGCGAUUGUAUCACUAUAAUUUAAAGAGAUAAAGUGAUAAUAACAAUGUAGUAAUGCUAUAGAGUAAAAGGGUAUUUUUAUCCAAAAUUUCUUAACAUAUUGAGUUGAAUUACUUAUGGGGAUGAAGUGACUAAAAGAUAACGUUAGGGGGUAAACUGAUAGUAAUAAUAUAAUUUAAUAGGAAAAAGUGAUAAUAACCCGCAUUUUUUUCAAUUUUUAAAAUUUUUAAUUUUUUUAUAGGAAAAAAUGAUAAAUUCCACUUUGAACCCUUAAACUAUAGAUGUAUUUCACUUUAGUUCUUAAACUCUAGUUUUGAACAUUUUACUCCAUAAAGUGUUAAAUUAUACUACUUGAGUACAAUCAUUGGUGGAAUUAUCAAAAUUAAUUGAAUGAUAGGCAACUGGUGCUUGAAUUCCAGUGGCAGCAGCGGUCCCUUCGGACACAGAGGUCCCGGGAUCGAAUUUGCUCCCUGAAGAACCCUGCGACUUGCUCGAGAAAACAUUGCAUGGAGCCGCGGCAUUCCCUCUGGGUUGGUGUGCCGGCUCGGGUCCAAAGGGCUCAUGCCGGGACAUGUUCCAGGUUAAAAAAAAAAAAGUGAUGCUCGAAGUGGUAUAGAAUAUUUAGUCUGUUUUGAUGAUUUUGUUAGUGGCUAUAGUCAAGUGUGAUGGAUUUGUUACUUAAAUAGGUAAGUGUUCAAAAUUAAAAUUUAAAAACUAAAGUGAAAGUACAUGUAUCGUUUCAUGGUCAAAGUGGAAUUUACUCUAUGAAAAAAAUUCUAAAUUGAGCAUUCUUUACGAAUCCCUUAAUUUUUGAAAAGUUAUGAACCUUAAAACUCAUAUUUCAUGAUUUGAGAAGUAGCUUGUUUAAAAAUUGAUCUAAAUUACUCUUCCGUUCCAUUUCAUAAGAUGCAUUUCAUUUUUUUAAAAUAUAUAUAUUUUACUAUUUUACUACCACGAAAUGUUUAUCAUAGGUAUAUUUGUAAAACAUACUAAGACAGACAUGAUUUUUAAUAUUAGAAUUUAUUUUUUUCAGUGGUACAUUUGUUUCAUUUUCUAUUUUUAUUUUUAGUACAGGUAUAUGAUUUAGCAUAAAGUCUGGUAACCCUAAUAUACUAGUUUAGCCAACUUAUCCCCUUGUGUUGUGAAAAUGGCCAAUUUAUUCUUGUUUGAUUUGCAGCCCAUGAAAUCCUAAAUGGAGGAAUCAACCAAUUUGCAUUCUUUUUUGGUUUUUUUCUUGGUGUUUUGGUUUCCCAGGGAGUAACUUCAAAUGCCUAAAUGCUCCCUAGGAAACGUAUCCAAAGCUAGUGCGUCAGUUUCUUUUAUUUCUCCUUCAAAUCUUUUCUACAAAAUUCAACAUAAGACGAGCCUAAAUUGGGAUGCUACAAGAAAAUGUUGACCAGCAAAGUUUUAAAAACUCUUUUUUUUAAGGGAAAAAAUGUUAUAAACUUUAAGAAAAAUUCUUCCAUUUUUUUAUUGACAAAAAGUUAUUUCUUUUCGUGAACAAGAAAUUACAACGGGCAAGACUUAUGACUCUAUUUUCCAUGAAAUCUAUUGCCCACCACAAGUUAGAACAUAAUUUUCACUUGGAAGUCUGAAACCAAUUGCUUGUGCUCAUAAGGAAAUCCAAAUUCACAACUAGCAAUAACAGCAACAGACGAUUGAUCGAAAUUAAUCUUAUAGAUUAAAGACCAUAGCUCAAAAUAAAUCAGAAAUUUCAUGACCAUAGUAAGAACCCUAGCUCACAUGAAAGAAUACAUUAGCCAGGAAUUAAAGGUUUCAGAUUCCAAUCCCUCUACCCUUCUCCGUUUCUUAAUUCCCAUCCUUUCCGUGUUGGGGGAAAAAAAUAGAGAAUACAUUGGUCAGCCGAAACAUUAAAUUCACAGAUUAUAAGGGUGAAUUUCAGUUAAUUAGUCCCAUUUGCAACCAAUCACAGUUAAUCCUCCAUCAACAGCUGUAACCUGUCCAGUGAUGCAAGAAACAGCAGGGAGACAAAGGAAAGCAACCAGGGAUAUAUGAAACUUCUUCUGGUUCUCCAACUCGCCUGAACGGAGAUUUCGACUCUAUCUUCUUCAAGAGCUCUGGUUCAUUGAUCAAAUAUUCAACCAUUAAGGUUCUGACAAACCAAGGUGCAACAGAAUUGAAAGGAAUAUUAUCUUUAGCCCAUUCCCAAGCCAAAUUCUUCGUGAGGUGAUUUGUUGCAGCUUUAGUUUCUCCAUAAACUGACCAUCAUUGCAGACUUACUAUACCUGCAACAGAUGAAAUGAACAUAAUUCCAGCUCCAGAUGCUUUCAGAAGGGGAUAAGCAAGUUGGGAGAAAUGGAAACUAGGUUCUGGAUUGGUGGAAAUGUGCCAAAAAGAUUCUUGUGCUGUAUAAUCAACUGCUGGCUUCCCUAUGCAUGGUGCAACAUUGUUUACAGAAUGUUUAGCUUGCCAUUGAAGAUCAAAGAUAGCUUUUUGAUCAGCCGAAUUCUUUCCUCUCCUGAAGAUACGUCACAGAUAGAACCCGUGGCUUUGAACCCUCUUGAAGACCAUUCUUGCAAUAGUUGAUUGAGAUGUUUCAUUCCUGGAACAGUUGUGAUGGUGUAGCACCAAAGGAGCAAGUUCUUCCACGAUUGCUUGGCCUAUUCCGCGAGUACCACCUCUGACAAGAGCAGUGGUACCUGCGAGAGACCAUUUUGAAACUGUUUGCUGCCACCUUUGCCAUGGAUCAAAAUUGAUACUUUGAUCACUAACACUAACAGGGUGCCCUUAUAUCGAAACCUGCAAAGUUUAAUUAACUUUUUUAAUUGGCUACAAGUUGGGAGCCAAUAAACAGGCUGAGGUAAGGUGUGAGAAAAGGACAAAGUCUAGUGUGUGGACAUUAAUUCUUUAAAUGAUUCCGUUGGAAUUUGGAUGAUCCUUCCAUUGGAAACAGACAGAUUGACAUUUUGGUGCUUUGGCCGUUUGUUCGAUUUGGUGACUUGAGAUUCUAAAGAAUUUGUGAUAGCUGAGGGCCUGCAGCUAUGCAAAAUUAAUCUCUCGAGUUUCUUUGUGUUAAAAAAUUUCUGGAUUUUAAAGAUAGAGAAGCAUUACAUUUCACAGAACAUUACAUUUUAAGUUCAGCUGGUAGUUAAAAUUUCAUGAUAGACAAUCUGUAAGAAUCACUAUAAAUCGUCCGGUGCUCCAACUUUAAAACAGGAUUUGUCUUCGCUUUUUCUAAACUUUUUCUGACCGGAAAAAGAGAAUUUUCCUAGAUGCUACAUGUGUAUUAUUGAUUAAAAUGUCCUGUGCAGUUGUUGUUAUGUAAAAUAUGCAUUUUUGGGAAUUACAUGUCUCUUAGAAAAGUUUUAACAGUAUCAGCUGGGCACUUUUGCUUUUUCCCCUUCCCUUAUUCCCUCAACCUUUUCACUUUUCAGGUAGAUAUACAUGCUAUGAAUGGGGCAGCUAGAAAAUCACACUCCUGGACUAGGGCAAUUGCUGUUAUAAUUAAUGUACGAUCUUCUCUGAGGGGCUAAUCUUUCCCGAAAAUAUCCAUAUUUAGUCUUGUACUUUUUUUGAAAAAAUAAUAAUAUUAUUAUAAAACACAAGGAAGAGAUUUUCUUGGAUGCUACACGUAAAUUUUUGUUUCUUAUUAUUACUUAAUUUCUAAAAGUCAUCCGACAAAAUUGUCUUUAUACUUCAAUUAAAUUUAAUUACGAGCAUGAAAGGAACUUUCUUUUUCGCUUUUUUUAAGGAAACACCAUAUACCAAUAGAAAAAUAAUGGACUAAGCUACCCAUUUUGUGAUGCUCAUUAAAACUUCAUCACCAUUACAAUCUCUUAUGUUGGAAAAGAGGAUUUUGCCAAGCAAAUAUAAAAGAUGUCCACUUGAAUACUAAUUCUACUGUCAGGAAAGAAAAAAAAAAAAAAAACAAACCUGCAGCCACCCAAAAUUCUUCAAUUGAAAUUCUAAGAAUCUACACUAACGUUAUUUAUAUUUCAGUAGCUUCAUUCCAAACCUAUUUCUAUUUCUGACACGUUUGCUUCUUUAGUUGUUGUUGUUUAGUUUCCUUUUCUUUUAAAAUUAACUCCAAUCCAAUUCUAUUUUGUUUCAUAAGGAAACUUAAUCCAAUAAAUUUCUUCCCAGAAUAACACCUCAAUGCCAUCAUUGCACAAAUGCCCUAAAUAAUGUUAGAAAGGGCAUUCCAAUUUGGAGACAAAAUAUAGUCUUAACUGUUUUAUGGUAAAGAUGUAAUUGAAAAAUAAAACUAAACCAUUAAAUCAGUAAAUGAAACUUGCAUUUUACACUAGUUAUAGUAUAGGUGUAGAUUAGCAUUUUACUAAUAAAGGGAAUGUUUUUCUAAACACCUAAAUCACACAUUUGUUACCAAAUAAAUACACAAAAAAAAAAGAAAGAUAAAUACACACAGAGCAAAAUACAGCUUCUGCACAACCAACUCCAUCAAUCAUCCAUCCAGUCUCAACCCCCCAUGCUCUUAAUAUGGAAACUAUCAUCUAUACCUGCAUAAACAAACAACGGAUCCGAUACUGUCCUAUUCAAAACUCUGCUAAACGUGCUCAUCAGGUGAUCCCUUCCUCAUCAAAAGCCUGGCUGAAGAUUUUUUGAUCAAACAUCCAAUCCAAACUAAGUUCCCAAUUUUCCCUACCCGUCAAUAUGUUUCUCCAACCAUUUACCACUAGCAGGAUCACAUAAACUAUGAAUUUCAUAAGAUUUUCUGCACUCCUAGGGUUAUUAAAUGUGUAUGCGAGGUGUUUGGAAGUUUAAAACCAUAUUGCUAAAAAAUAAUCCCAGUUGAACGUUAGUAAUCCAGGCCAAUGCAAGGCAUCUAAUUGUCUUUCUCUGCUGCAGUUUUUGUAGAUGUAGAUACAUUUUUCCUGCAAGGUAUUCCCUCGGAAUUCUAUAUAAUGGGUUUGAAAACUAACUUUUCGUCCCCUGUAUAAAGACCUUUAGAAAAUUCUCAGCCUAGCUAGUAACCGAAAUAUGAUAUUAUGGUACAACUGCAAUUCAGAGUGUGAUGCUCUAAUUCCAGCAGAUGAACCAAAGUUGAUGAGUUAUGAAUAAUGUACCAAAGUAUUCCUGAUUGGUAGUGUUAUUGAUCCAGUUUUUACAUGCAAUAGGCACUCAAUUUUAUCAAAGAAAGCAUGCGAACUGAUUAAGAAGUAACUUCCUGCAAACAUCCAUGUCCAACUAUGUGUGUUCAUCCAAACUUCUUUGAAGGUUGCCCAGUAGUAGAGCCUUGAAGUUUCCCCUCUCUUUCUCUUUCAUGAACCCAUAUGAUUCAGUAUCAACAUGUUGUCCAUCAUUACUGAUUUCCUCAUGAUCCUACAUAUUAAACCUUAUCCUGCAAAUGAUGAACUUGAUUUUCUAGAUGAUUUGAGAUCACUACGGAACCAAAGCCGUGUUAGCCUACUUCUUUCACUUAAACUUACUAGUAAUAACUCAGUGCUUUGCAUGUGAAUAUAUUUUUUCAAGAUAUAAAAUCUUUAAUAUAUGAACUUUUUGUGCAAAACUUUGAUUAUUGGCAUAACAUAAACUAAGAACUAUAUAAUGAACAAAAUUAACAAUUGGUAAUUGUACAAAAUGUUUAUUGUGUACAAAGCAAUUAAAAGUUUAUUGUGCAUUCUACAAUUAUAAAAACUCUCAAGAUGGAAGAUUAUCAUAUUUAAACUAAGUUGUUGAUAUAAUAUUGAUUAAGAAACUAUAUAAUAAACAAAAUUAAGCAAUUGCUUGUUGUAGAAAACAUUUAUUAUAUACAAAGUAAUUAAAAGUUUAUUAAACUUUGAAGAUAGAAGAUUAUCAAUUUUAAACUAAGUUGUUGCAUAUUCUACUUAUAUUGUAAAAUAAGAAGAGGAUUUUCUAUGUUUUGUCAAACCAGUGUAUACAACAAAGCCUAAACAAAAUGCAUACUAAAUCAUUUAUGAUUUGGAUACAACGAAUUUUAUCAAUUUUAGUAGUCGUAAACCUUUUCUGUUAUAUUUUUAUAAUUAUCGAUAAUUUUUUUAAAGUUUUCUUAGUCAAUAUGACAUAACAUAGUGAAGUUAAUCAUCAAUUUAACCUUUUGUUUUCUCAUUAACUGUUUAUAACCUUUUGAAUUCUUAUUAAUUGUGAUUUUCUUCUAAACCGAUAUGUAUAUAAAAUAUAGUUAGCUUUAAUUAUCACACAUAAGAAUAUAAUAAUUGGAGAUAAUUUUAGCACAUACAACAAUUGGAGAUGAUGAAAAUGAUUGGUGAAUAUAGUUGUAAGUGGGCAGUUUCUAAUUGUAAUUACCAACAUUUUUUAGAUGUAAUUUAUUGAAACUUUCCAUUUUCAUAUUAGUGUCAUGAUUGAAAUGCAAUAAUUCUAAUUAAAAGGCAUGAGGGUAAUUUAGGCAUAACAAAAACUAAGAUCAAAAUAAGCUUAUACUUGUACUCCCUAUUGCCAAGACUCAUUAUGCUUUUUAUGUAGCAAUGAUAACUAUAAUGAUGAAUCCUUCUUACAAAAUGAUGAACGUAGCAGGCGGGAGGAGAGAUGGGUUGGGUGGUAUGGGAAGGGUAGUGUAAGUGAGCGGUCCUAGAUUUGAGACCUCCUACUUACACAAAAAAAAAAAAAAAAAGAAGAAGAAAAUGAACGUAGCGGGCAACAGAUGCUUGAGUCCUUGCCCGCCGUGGGAAAUACUGCAUGUUGUUCUGUUUAUUAGCUAUGCCUACCAUUCAUGCUAAUAACCUUCAGUGUAAGAGUCAGGCCCUUCAUUAAUGUAGUUUGUUUUCUUAAAAAGACUAUAAUUGAACAUCUAAAAGGUUGCUUCAUCUUCAUUUCAAGAACCCAGGGAUUAUUUGCUCCUCCUACUGGUUAAGUAAAAGCUUAAAAUGAGUAUAAAUCGAGUUCCAUGCUUUAUCACUGCUGUAGGGUUGGACUCUGUAUGCUUACCAUUUCAGAUAACUGGUCCUAUUCAAAUAUGCAUUACCAUAUAGGGAUCCAAAGAAUGAGGGAAACAUCACAUCUUUAGGUUCCUUUCACCUUCAAGCUUUCAUCAAAUUGGCAAGAUAUAUGCACUAGUAGUACUCCCUCGAAAAAAAAAACAGAAAUGACAUCACUGCAAUCUAUUUAAGAUAUUAGCAUAUAUAUCUAUUUCAAGUUAUAAUACAAACCAUCAUAGUUUACUCAGUUAUAUAUCAAACACACUAUUUGUAUUGGUUUAAAUAGCAGAUAAAACAGGCACGUUAUUCAUAUUCUGCUUCUUAUAGCUUCAAUAAGAUGUUCUCAUACUGUCCUGCCAGGUAGUCUGAUCCAAGAUCCAAUCUUUAACUUGCUUUAAAUGAUCUCCACUUGAACAACUCGAAGUUGCCGUGCUCCUUUUUGAUGAAUCCAUCAGCUUCCUGGUUGAUAUCUUCUUUUGCACGAACCUCGUCUUUGGCAUUCUUAACAACUUCAGUAGUUUUCUCACUUUCACUGAAAUGGACUUUCUUUUGUGCCUCUGGUGCCUGAUGCUUAUGAUGAUCCACUUGCUGGCGAUGAUUCCCAGAUUCUCCCUCAGAGAUGGCUUUAUUUUGGAAGGGCUGAUAGGUGGCUUUAUUUUGGAAGGCCAAGUGAACAUUUGGGUGGGGGGGGACAUCAGUUAUCACACUCGGCGUUCUUUGCAUCCGAUUAACGUGUUCAAGAUAAUCGGGGGAAGUGGUAUUCCAACCAUACUGUGGAUUGGAGUAGUAAUCAUAGCCUCUAUACAUUCUUCCUCUUGUUUUUCCUGUAUGGCCUGCAGAUGUACUGCUAGCUGAAGCUAACCAUUUAUAGAAGAAACUUGUCUGAAUGCUACAACAACAACUAAAGUUGUGGUUGCACUGUUGCAUUUGAAUCUGAUACCGCUUUUAGUCACUGUCGCUGAAAGCUAAUGUUUCAGAAAGAAGGCUCAGAAAGGAUCCCAUAAAGCCGACAUUAUUGAGGCCUAGUGGAUGCAUAUUUAUCCUAUUGAUUUUAAUUUUCCGGCGCAGAAUUUACAGUUUCAUUUGUCGACUAUAACAGAGAUCCUGAUUAAUCCUUUCUUGAACAAUUUCUGUUGUGAUUUAUACAGAUGAAACAGUGUUGUAGGAUUAUUUUACUUCACAGAGUUCCAAUAUUGUUCUACAAGAGAUUCAGCUUUAGUUUAAUGCUUGUCACAUUCUUAUCAGGUCUAGGAUUAGGACCCUGGAACCAUAUACCCCUAAGAUCAGAUAAAGAUGGAGUUCCCAUUGUAUACACGCUAUAGAACACUAUGAGAGAAUUACUUAUCACAGAAUCAGAUUACACGCUAGUAUAAGGAAUCUGAUAGAUUUUCUCUACAAUGUAUAGCAGCACUUUCCCUGUAAUAUCACCAAGAUUAUACUCUGCAAAAUAUCAAGAAGAAUAUGCCCUGUAAAUUAUCAUGAAGAAUUUAUCCUAAAAUACUGAACAUCUCUUCAAUUGAAACAGUCUUCUUUCACAUAGUUUUUGCUGAUUCAGAAUGGCAUUUCUGAGUAGCAAACUUCAAAUUAAUGCAGGUAGGCAUUAGUCACUUCUAUACAAGCCAUGUUAUAAGCUAGUAUAACCUUACCUUCCAUUUGAUCAGGGGUCCAGAAGAACAUUUAUUUUUACUUAACCAGUACAGACACCUAAUUCACGUUAUUUUUUCACCAUAGCUGUGGAAAUUAUGGAUCAUUAUGCACAAUAUUUUCCUGAACAUUUAAUGACAUCAAAUCACGAAACCAGAAAUUGACUGUAGAUUUUAUUCUGUCGUAAAGUAAAAGACAGAGAGAUGCUAAUUUGUAACUUACCAGAACUAGAAAGGCUUCUCGUUCAGUAAAAAGUCCAGUUCCCAGUUAUUUUUUUAAAAAAAAAAAAGUGUAAAAGAUCUGAAGAAACUGAACUUGUGUCCACCUUAUCACGAAAAUGGUCACGAGGAAUCCUAUAACUAUGUUUUUUUUUUCUCUGAAUAAAUUUCUGUUUAUUCGUGGAACCUUUUUCUUAGAAAAUAAAUUUGGUGUACGUGAAUUUAGAAAAAAGUAAAGAGAUAUGGGAAACAAAACCAUACAUGGCAAAAUAAUUCAUUGACUGAUUAUUUACAACUAAAAGGGAUAAAAAAAAAAAAUUACUCAGGCAGACCACAUUAAUGUAGUACAUAAUCUUUAAUAUAUUACUUUAAAUCGAACUGGACUCCUUUUUAUUAUUAGUUUAAUUGCAUAAAUAUAAACAAAAAAGGACGAACUCCAAAAGACAAUAUAUGCCAAUAUAUGGUAAAAAAAAAUUAAUUAGUUAAAUCAUGACUUGUCCUCUUGCCUUACAUGGAACACAUUCUUAUCAGUACUCAAUUUAAUUGCAUGGAUAGUCGAAAAAUCCACAAACUCCAAAAGCCAUUCCACUGAAAUUGGAAGUUCAAAUUAGGAAUAAAAGAAUCAAGACUAGAAGCUGCUUGGUGAACCCUUCUACUAACAGUAACCAUAUAAUGCGAGAUGCAGAUACAGAUGUAGAUGAAGGAUCUCAACUUAGAUAAACACAAAACUCAUCAACUUAAAUCUCUUGAGGCAUACUGCAUCAAUCUACUCGAAUCGAUUAGGUCGAAAUCCCAUCUCCACAAGAUCUUGGAGAGCUCCUCAUUACCGUUGUCUGUGACAUAUGGAGCAGAAAUCUGAGAAAGAGUAACAGAAUAUGGUAGGAUAAGCAACUGAUAAGUAUCAAGAUCAACUGAGAUAUGCAACUGAAGGACAAUUGGCAAUCUGAUAGCAUAAACGGUAAAAGGUGAAUCCUUCAUGAAAGCCAUCCAAUCUCCUAACCUCUAUAACCAUGGUUCAAUAUUGGUCCUAAGUGCAUGCCUGCCUACCAUUCUCUAACCAGAAAACAUCUUUUAGCAACAACCAUCAAAUUAUUUCUGAUAAACAUAUAAUUAGUAGAAAACCAGAGACUUAAAAAAGAAUUGAGGAAUAACCUGGCCCCUGGGCUUCUGGUGGUAGAGGACAUGAAAGGGAAGGCGUAGUAUCCAAGGAGGCGUGGACCAUGGAUGAAGCACUCAACUCAUGCAGACAGGAAUACCAUAGACUGCAGGAGGAAUGUAGCCACCUAGAGGGGCCAUAGGCUGAUAUUAACACAAUAAAGAGAUGGAAAUAUUCCUCCAAAUUAGCCAUCUUUUUAUCCAAUUCAAUCUUAUUCUGACUAGUCUGAGUUAGUCACCUUACAUAGCUAAGAUGUACAUUGGUAAUACAUAAUCAAACCUUUUCCAAAGAAAGAAUACGUAGUGAGUAAGGAGAUCAAAAUCCAACUAGAAUUUUUACUGUGCAAAUGUGUAAAAAAUAUAAACUUUCUGCCAUAACAAAAGUCAAUUUUUCAAAGUCUACUCUCAGAAGAAGGUGAAAAAACUGAUAAAAGCUAAAAACCAAAAUAAUUAACUCCGCAAGAACUUUAUAGCACGCUGGCAGUAGUAAACAGGGGACAACCCCAAAAAUCUUAUUUAUCCUUGCAUAGUGAACUAUGUUCAGCCAAAUAGUUCAGCAAUAGAAAAGAAACUUGUAGUUUUGCUUCUUUCAGAGAGAUGAGAGGAAAAAUGUAGCACAGCUGCUGUAGACAGAAUGGAAUGACUAGUGGAAAAAAAUAUUUUAGAAAAGAAAUGCUCAAAGAGGAUGGAACACUUGCAAAAACAUGCAGGACCUAUAGAAAGCAGACGAAUAUGAGGAUGAGCAACAAUAUCAAAAAGCAAGGAGUUCAAUGAUGCAUUCAGUUACCAGACUAUUACCUGUGAUCUGACUCAUCUUGCGUCAUAAAAUGCAUUCUGGCAACUGAAUUUGCAAUAUCAAUCAUACCUGGAGAAGAAAACAGUACACUAAGAAAUAAAAACACCAAAUAGAAGGUAAAUAUAGAAAUUUUAAAUUAAAAAGGUGAUGCAGGAAAAAUUGCUUUUCAGUUAGUGUCGUUUGCAUCAAUUAAUAACUGAACAAAGCAACAAAUCAAGAAAAAAAUCUGGAGAAUAAAUAAAAUCAAGUUCUUCUUGGUUCAAUUACAAUAUUCAAUCUAUAUACUCCAUCCAAAUGGACCACUUUAAGCCAUAUAGCCUUAACAUAAGUACCCCAUAAAAUCACAGAUACAAGCCAUGUCAAACAGAAACUUUAUUCAGAGCACAAGACAGGAUGUUGAACCCCAAAAAUACAAAAUUGUACCACCAAACAACUGUAAACUAACAGCAUACAAUAGGAAAGCAUAAAUCAAACCAUGCUUUCUGCUUGUAUUCGUAAAGCUACUACUUCCAAUUAGCACAAAGAAGAGGAUGGGAUUUGAUAUGCUUUUGCUUCUUGAAAGUGAAAGCAGUUGGUUAUAACAGACCAUCUGACAGAAUCUUCCAAUCUCUUGAAAGAUACUUAAAAUCAUCUCCAAGAAAUAGUAGACAAAAAGCCAGAUGGCUGAUACCACAAAUUUGUCUGUCUGCCUGUGUGUGUUUGCUUAAAGUUUCAAGUGCAAUAGCACCAGCAGUCAGAAAUUUCAUGCUACAAAAGAAAUAAGCUUGUUAUCAUAUUAAAAAAAAAUGAAAAUAAAACAUAUUCUGGCUUUCAAAAACUAUAUCUGAGAGAAAAAAACCAGGUGUGAACAUGUAGAAUUGAGAAGAAAGAUAAAUAAGAGCCAAAAAAAAAUCUGAUAAUGAUUGACAAGAAUUUUAUUCUCAUACAACUGAAUGUGCGGGUUCUAAAUCAAGCAGAAAUCAAAUACUAAAUCAGAAGGUAACUAAUCAUAGUAUUAUAUCAUAAUAAGAAAGAAAACCAACAGAAUAGAACCUGCUUCACCUGGAAGGAGCAAUAAAAUCAACAGCAAAUGAAAAAGCUCUGGGUCCACAAGCAUACAGGUGGCGGUGGAAGUAAUCUGGCGCAAUUGGAGAAAAUAAGCUUUGUUAUUGAACUGCACAAAAUCAGAUGAUGAAAUGCAAAGCCAACAAUCAGCAAUCUGGGAAAGGAUGCAGACAAAAGAAACUGAAGAAAGAGGAGGAAAAUUGAACAAGACGAGUAACCGCCAUUUCACUGUCCACCUCUUCCUCAAUACAAAAUGUAUCACUUAGUUUAUUAAGUUAUAUUCGCCAGGGUGAUGAGGAAGAAGCGGCCACACAACAGAACCGCCAUUCAUCAUCCACCAAAACCUGGUAAAGGGGGCCAUGAUGGCACCAUGCUCUAAAUUCACAUAGUGAAUGAGACUGCUGUCUACCCAGGUACCUCAUCCCAACCUAAAGGCCAAUGUUCGUGAUAGAGGAUUCACCAGAGUAUGGUGGUGCAUGGUGGCAUCAGUUGAAAAAUGAAGUUUACAGCAGUUAAUACAAUGAAAUCAAAAUAAAAAACCCUCACCAUAAUCGCAACCCUGCCUUCCUUCCCCUUCCCAUCCCAUUUCCCCCUGCCAAUGAGUAAAUUCCAGAAAAGUGGGACAUUUUGAAAAAAAAAAAAAAUUCCCAGAAGGUGAAAAACUCAUUCACUAAAUGAAUGUUUCUAUAAAAGAUGCAUUGACAGAAUGCGUUCUUUAUUGUCUAGCAUUUAUUUCUUAAACAACACAUCCAGUGAAUUCAUUUUUUUAAGAAAAUACAUAUUUCGAAUACAUUUUUUCAAAACUCACCAUUUGGGAACUUCUUUCAAAAACCACCACAUUUUGAUAUUGACUCCCGCCCACCCUUCCCAACCCCCAUCUCCCCCCCCCCAACCCCCUAAAUAAUGACAAUCAGGACUCUGAUAAAGAUACGUAUUUGGUCAUACAUCCCAUGAAAUAAAAUGGGUAGCAACAGGUUCGGCAUAAUUUUAUUCCUUAUCAUUUUCAUACCACAAUUUUUCCAUAGGUGCACAGCUUGCAAUCUUCUUACCUCCAGGCACAGAAACAGAGAUUACCUGCAGAUCUUACUUUUUAUCUGACAGCUAUGUCAGCCAAAUAAAUUGUCCUUAGAUUUUUUCCCAUAGCCACUGCCAAAAAAUAUGAUCAUAGGAAAUAACCCUAAAGUUCUUUCUUGACUGGACCAGACAGCAGUGAAGCUAUUGAACAUAGGGUGAGUCAAUUCUUAGAUGUAAUUGAGAGAAUGGAUACUUGUUAAUGGUGCAUAGAACAAGAUUUCAACCUGAACUCCUGAAGACUGCCAAGCCUUUCUGAAACACAUUCCUGGCUGGCAGUAGCAUCAGUAUCUGACAAUUCAGGUUGACCACAUCAUAUUCCCGAGGAAAAUGGGAAAGCAUUGAUACCCUGCAAUUUAAUAAACUCAAAAAGUGAGCCGUCUUCUUGCUAUCACCACGUAUUUAUAACAGGAGGAGCAGUCAUUGACUAUAAAUUGACAAAGUUCCCACUUGGACUACAUUUAGUGGACUAGCAAACCUUUUUCUUCCCACCAACAUCAAUCUGACAUGUAGCAGCUCACUCAGGAUUCAAGCAUCAGUAAUGGAACUUUAAAUGUAUAUAUCAAUUACAGUAUGAUAUGAAUAUGAAAAUGAAAGAGUAUAAGAAAAUCUAACUAUCAGCAUAAAAUAAAUGUUCAAACAAUGAAGUUAGCUCAAUGAACUCUAUUCUUGCCAAAUCUUUUGAAAGUCUCAAGUUUUUUAAAGUUUUGACUUUUUGUUAACCACCGAAGAAGAAAAUGUGAGGAUCAGAUAUGUAGAAAAUACAUAUAACUUUCAGAAAUCCUUUUAGAGCUCUAAUAGCAUAAUCACCAGGCAAUAUAAUAGAUAAAAUAGCAUCAUUCACUUACUUUUAACCUUUUUCUUCAGAAGCCACAGCUGACAUUCAUAUUCCUGGAGGAAAACGCGCAGCCUGUGGUGGUCAAUCAUUCAAAUAUUUCCCCUGGGAAGUGGUUGAAACACAAUCCACAACCUUGAUCCACUUGGCUUCGUGCAGCAAAUCUACUCUAUUUCACUCACUUUUUUAUCUCCAAAAAUGCCCACUUCUUCAGCACUCUGACUUUUUAUCCACCGGCCUGCCUAAUUUGGACAACUCUCUUGCUAAACUUGUACGUGUCUGGUAAGAAAAAGUGCAAUUCUUGACAUCCAUUGCAUGAAGAAACUUCAUGGAAGUGUCUGCUUCCCCCUCCUUGAUUAGCCCAUCUAUUAAUAUGGACCAGACAAUCUCAUCAUUGUUCCAUUGUUUCUCAAGCAUGCUUUCAAAUAAAGCCUCAGCCUCUUUAGCCCGGCUUAGUUUGCAUAAAGUGCAGAUAAGUGCUCUGUAAAUUGAUAGAGGGGGCUCAAAACCACUGAUGAUCAGUGAGUUAAAUAUAUCUAGAGCAGAAUUAACUCUCAAGUUCCUGCAAUAAGAGCCUAUGAGAGAGCAAAGUAUUGCACUGUUAGGAGUCAAGCCUUUCCCUUUCAUAUGUUUAACCAAAUGUUCUGCCUCAUAACUUUUGCCUUCUCUACAUAGUCCAACAACUAAGGUAGUAUAUGUGCUGAGACCAGGUUCGCACCCAUAUUCUGACAUCCUAUCCAAGAGACUAUACAAAUUUUCAAUUCUCAAAUCUUUCUCAACUGAACUACGUGUGCAAACUGUUUGAUGUUGGGUUGCAACUUUUUCCUCAAGUAACUGGCACUCCUUUUGUAAACCUUUGACCAGCACAUUGUAGGUUCCAUAAUUUGGCUGGUAGCCUGCACUAAUCAUCUGGAAAAGAAGCAAAAAUGCAUGGUUUAGCCUACCCACCCUUACAAACCCAUCAAUUAUUGACGUAUAAAUCACCACGUCAGGUGCCAAUCCUUUUCUCUCCAUUUCCCUAAGCAAUAAUUCAGCCUCAUCAUUCUGACCUGCCAAGCAUAAGCCAUGGAUGAGCGAACUGUAAGUGUACAAAUUUGGCAAGCAAUCUCUUUUUCCCAUUUCAUGAAAUAUCUUUAAAGCAAGGUCUGUCCUCCGUCUUUUGCAGAGUCCAUCAAUUAAUGUUGAGUAGGUAAUUACAUUGGGCAAUAGCCCACUUUCGAGCAGUUUAUCAUGGAGUUUUUUUGCUUCAGAGAGCAUACCCCUCUUAGACAAGCCAUUUAAAACUGCAUUAUAAGUUUCAAUGGCCGGAUUACAACCACUGUCCUGCAUCCUUUUCAACAAAGCCAAUGCAGCAUCUACUUUCCCAUCUUUACAAAGGCCAUCUAUCAAAGUGGUGUAGUUAACUUGGUUUGGACUCAAAUCUUGCCUAAUCAUAUCCUCGAAAAGACUUGAAGCUAAGUCAAACUUUCGCCCUUUGCACAACCCAGAAACAAGAAUCGCAUAAGUCCAUUCAUCUGGCUGACAUCCAUUCCCUUUCAUAAUAUCAAACAACCUCAGAGCAUUGUUCAGGGAAUGCUGUUGGAGAUAUCCAUUAAUCAAAGUAUUGUAUGUUACUCUCUUUGGAGGUGGACCGACCCUCAACAUCUGUUGAAAUAGGACCAUUGAUCUCUCCAUAUUUCCGACCAUACAAAAUCCCUUUAUAGCUGCAUUGAAGGUCUCUGUAUUUGGUGAAUAACCAUGUCCCUCCAACCAGCGAAAAAUAUUUAAAGCAGUUUCCAGUUUGCCUGCUUCACAGAAUCCACUGAUCAGUGCAUUAUAAGUGACCACGGUUGGGACCAGGCCUUCCUUCAGCAUCCUGUGGUACAAUCCUAUUGCCAACUCAAGUUGACCAACUACAGCCAACCCACUAAUAAGGGCUGUAUAAUUUUGUGCAUUCGGCUUACAACCCCUUUUCAUCAUGGUAGACAUAAGACCAAUAGCGUCCUUGGCACGUCCAACAUCACAUAAUGUAUUAAGGGGAACUGUAUACGUGUAUACAGUAGGUUCAACACCUUUCUCAAUCAUUUCGUCAAGCAUGUCCAAUGCCUCAUCAACCCUCCCCUCGUCGCAGAGCCCAUUAAUUAGGGUCGAAUAAGUAACCGAAUUCGGAUCAAUUCCAUCCUUUAACAUCCUAUCAAAAACCUCAUACGCCUUGUCCAACUUCCUAUUCCGACAGUGGCCAAGAAUCAAAGACGUAUAAGUGAAUACAUCAGGGGAAAAUUCACACUGAUAAAUCCUACACAAAACCAACUCUGCCUCCUGAACUUUUCCCUUCUUACAAAAAAUAUUAAUCAUAGUAUUAAAAGUCAAUAGACUUGGUACAAUUUCACUACUCAAAAUUUCAUUAUACACAUUUUGAGCUGCCUCAACCAUAUCAAACUUACCUAACUGAAUCAACAAAGUAUUAAAACUAUACAAACUAUACGGAAAACCCUCUUUGCUGAUUUCAUUCAAAAAUCCCAAAACCCAUUUCAUCUCUUCCUCAUUCCUGCAAGCUUUAAUCAUCAAAAUCCUAACAUGAUCAGCAGGCGCAAAACUUUUAUCAAAAAGAAGCCUAUUCAACAUUGCCACAUAACAGUUCACAUCGUGUUUGUAGAAUUGCCUCUUAGAAACCCAGUAAAAGAAUUGCAACACAGACUCACUGCUUAUUUUGUAAUUAUCUAUAAUCUUAGCCACGUGAUGGGGCUUGAUUUUGGGGCUCAAAGCCUUGAGCUGAGAGCUUUUCUGCCAUGGCAAGGACUUAUUGGACAAAAUAUCACAAAUUGUGAACACCAAGCUUGGAUGAUGUGGCUGCCUUUCCGAUAAUGCUGGAGAAAGAUUUAAUUUUGACGAGAAAUAACGAGAACCCAGAUGGGGAAAUUGCCUAAAAAGAUCGAUAUUCUUGAGGUGGAUGAGAUUUGGAAGACACUGGCAAUUGAGGGGCUUAAUAACCAUUUCUUGAUAUGAUGCUGAUGAAAGGGCUCAUGGGUUCAUCCGCUUCACCUGCUGCUUAUUAUAGUUGCUGAAGCGAUGAUUCUUAUGGUGAAAAGUUGGCAGAUUGAGGCGUUUGAAUAAGAUGGAGCCAUGGAGGCGGAAGGGAAGAAGGCGUGUGGUUUCUGAGACCACAAAUUGCUCAGUGUGGGUGCGAGUAUUGAGUCAUUUUAAAAUAGUAGUAUUGGCUGAUUCCCUAAAUGGUAGUCUAACUUUUUUUAAUAUUUAAAAAAUAUCUUAAAAAAUAUUUUAAAAAUUCUACUACUCUUAAAUAUUUUAAAAUAUUUUCUAAAAAUAUCUCAAAAUAUACUUUAAAAACUCUAUUAAAGUAAAAUUUUUCAAAAAUUUUUCCAAAAAUAGCUAAUUUAAACGGAGCCAUAUAUUGACAAAAAAACAUUUAUAACCCUCAAAAAAAAAAGAAAAUACAGUUAUAUGGAGUAAUAUUUUUAUUGGAGAUAUAAGUUUUAUAUAGAGCAAAUUUUUGGGCAACAUUCAGAAUCUUUGAACAUAGGCUUCAAGUGCGUACCAGUUGGUUGACUGGAUUCGAAUUGAGUUCAAGUAAUUUGAAGUUUUUAUAUAUAAAUUUUAAAUUUUAUAUUAAUUGAGUCAAACUUUAAUCUAAGUUUGAUAUUUUGCCGAAUACAAAAUUGUACUCAUAGUUAACUUAAUUAGUCAGUGAACGAAACUUAAACACUAAUCAAGUUUGAUUCGAGGUUAAUCUGUGUUGCAAUUCUGCCUGAAUAAUCUAUCUAUUAAUAUAUAAAAAAAAUGAAACAUAUGUUUUUUAAGUACUUCUUGUUCUUUCAAUUAUCAUAUUAUUCAAUGCAUCUUACGAAGUGCUAAACCAUUCAAUAAAGUGCCCAAGUUUUAUUGUGAAAAUUAGGCUUAAAUGAAAUAGCAGAAAACUAAAACACAAGCUGGAUUUUGGAACACAAGAGGUGAUUGCCCCUUAACAGUUUUGUGGAAAUCAGCCUGAAAGAAAGCACUUUUGAGAAACCUGAAAGAAAGCUAGAAAACCUUUUACAGCAAACUUUGUAUUACUACGUAGGCCAUAAAACUGAGGGAAAAAGGAGCUUUAUAAGUUGACAUCCUCUUGCAUUUAGAGCCUACUGUCUGAAUAUAUCAAUCGAACCCUCCACUCCAUUGCCAAAACUCUCACGUAGAGAUUUGUACAAUUUCCAACUUUCCAACCCCAAUUAACCAAAAAAAGAAAAUACCAAUGGCGUUUACACUUCCAGAUUUUCCCGCCAAAACCAUAGCUACCAAAACUACCACCAUUUUACAAGUUCCAGACAAUCCCAAAACCUUAAUUCUUGAAAAAUGCAGGACUACUAGGGAUCUCAACCAAGUCCAUGCCCACCUGAUCAAGACCCGCCUCCUUCACAACCCAAAUGUAGCCAAUCCCCUUCUAGAAUCAGCCGCACUUCUCCUCCCAAAUCCCUCUAUCAACUAUGCGCUUAACAUCUUUAAUGAUCUCGAAAAACCCGACUCAGCGGCCUACAAUGCCAUGAUCAGGGGCUUGACGUUGAAACAAUCUUCUAAUGAGGCCAUCCUUUUUUUCAGGCAAAUGAUCGAACACUUAGUGAAACCUGAUAAAUUUAGUUUCUCUAGUGUCUUGAAGGCCUGUUCCAGGCUUAAAGCUUUGAUGGAAGGUCAACAGAUUCAUGCCCAGAUUUUCAAAUGUCAGUGGAGUUGCAAGCAUGAAGAGCUUGUCAACAAUGCGUUGGUUUAUAUGUAUGCCAGUUGCGGUGAGAUGGUGCUUGCGCGUCGGGUGUUUGAUGGUAUGAGUGAGAGAAGCACGAUCACGUGGAAUUCGAUGUUUUCUGGGUAUGUUAAAAGUGGAUUCUGGGAAGAAGUUACACGGUUGUUUAGGGAAAUGUUGGAUAUGGAAGUUCAGUUUGAUGGGGUUACACUGAUUAGCGUUUUGACUGCCUGCAGGAAGUUGGGGGACUUGGAAUUGGGACAGUGGAUAGAUGACUAUGUAGAAGUAAAUGGACUAAUGGGAAAUGCUAAUUUAGUUACCUCACUUUUUGACAUGUACGCAAAGUGCGGUUGUGUGGAUGCAGCCAGGAGAUUAUUUGAUAGGAUGCCUCGAAAGGAUGUUGUCGCAUGGAGUGCCAUGAUUGCUGGCUAUAGCCAGGCAAAUCGAGGCAAGGAUGCACUUUCUCUGUUCCAUGAGAUGCAAAAGGCCAAUGUGGAACCAAAUGAGGUUACUAUGGUUACUGUGCUUUCGUCCUGUGCUCUUCUUGGAGCUUUAGAAACUGGAAAAUGGGUACAUUCCUAUAUUAAGAAAAAGAAGUGGAAGCUCACUGUCACUCUUGGGACUGCAUUAGUGGAUUUCUAUGCCAAGUGUGGUUGUGUUGAUAGUGCAGUUGAAGUGUUCCAAGAGAUGCCUUCAACAAAUGUAUUGUCAUGGACAGCGCUAAUUCAAGGUCUUGCUAGUAAUGGACAAGGGAUAAGGGCUCUGGAGUACUACAGUUUGAUGCAGCAACAGAACAUUGCACCAAAUGAUGUCACAUUCAUUGGUGUUCUGUGUGCCUGUAGUCAUGCAGGCUUAGUUGAUCAGGGUUGGGCUUUCUUUACAAGUAUGACUAGAGAUUUUGGCUUUGAACCGAGGAUUGAACACUGUGGUUGCAUGGUUGAUAUUCUUGGUCGGGCAGGAAGGAUUGAAGAAGCCUACAACUUUAUCAAAAGCAUGACUACCAAGCCCAAUGCUGUAGUAUGGAGGACAUUGUUGGCUUCAUGUAGAUUUCAUAAGAAUGUUGAAAUUGCUGAGGAAUCACUGAAGCAAGUUGUGAGAUUGGAGCCUGCGCAUGCUGGUGAUUACAUACUUCUUUCCAAUGUCUAUGCUUCAGUUGGUAGAUUGGAAGAUGCUUUAAGGGUAAGGAGUCAGAUGAAAGAAAUUGGAGUAAAGAAAAGUCCUGGAUGUAGCUUGAUUGAACUAGAUGGGGUCAUUCACGAGUUUUUGGCUGAAGACAGUUUACAUCCUGAUUUAGAGGAUAUUUACACGGCAAUAGAUCACAUCAUGAAGCGGAUAAAAUUGGCAGGGUAUGUUCCAAACACGGCUGAGGGGAGGUUAGAUGCAGAGGAAGAUGGUAAGGAAGCUUCCAUAUCUCACCAUAGCGAAAAGCUGGCCAUUGCUUUUGGCCUUCUUAAAACUACUCCUGGGGCUACGAUUAGAAUAUCCAAGAAUCUUAGGAUAUGUACAGAUUGUCAUAAUGCAGCAAAAUUGAUAUCAACAGUUUUCGAUAGAGUACUUGUCAUUAGGGACAGGAACCGUUUCCACCAUUUUGCAGGGGGGACAUGUUCCUGCAAUGAUUUUUGGUAGGAUAUUUAACAAACAGGGACUCAAAUCGAUCCUUUUAUGGAGAGAUUAAGCCAGUAGAUUUAGUACAGUGACAACUUUCUUCUUAACUUUUUUUUCCUUCCCUCCUCUUGUUUGUGCAUUGUGGAAAACUGUGCAGAAAAGCAGAACAGCACAAGAAAAAGUGAUUCUGAAACUUGAAUUGCAAAGCAAAAUAGAGUAUCUUUCUGAAAACUUUGCACGAGUUUGUGCUUCUAAGCUUUCUGAGAAUUUCAUCUUCUAAAGAUUUAUGAGUUAGAGCUCCUGAAGAUUUACAUGGACACUCGACCUUUGUGAUGAGAAUGGAAGUCCAUUUACUUCCAUGUAUGAAUUUACAUGUACCAUCGAUUAAAUUCAGGUAGUAUAACUGACUAGGUUCAGGUAGAGCAUGAAUUCUUUUUUUUUUUCCUUUCUUCAAUUGUGAGACCAGAGGCAGUUGAUUGAUUAGCGUCAGGCAUCGUUUGAAUCUUUUGUUUAUUGCUUCAAUUCUGAGGCCAGCAGUUUUUUUUUGCAUUUAUCAAUUUGCUGGUCAUAACUGAAAGUUGCAUUCACGUGGUUUGCUUGUUCUGGUGUUGAUGCCUUUCAUUUAGAAUUAAGGGCUGUAAAUUUUUUUAAUAUAAGUAAGCGAGCUUAGUGGUUUGUGGUUAGUUAUGAUUGUGAUAGAUGUUGAUGAAAGCUUAGUUUUGGUGGUUUUGUGAAGUGAUUUUCUUGUUCUGCUCUUCAUGUUUUCCUGUUUAUAAUUAAGGGCUAUAUUUAGCACAAGUAAUUGAGGUUACUCGUUUCUGUUCAGUUGUGAUUGUGAUAAAUAUUCAUGAAACCUUAGGCCUGGUGCUUUUGUAAGGUGAACUCCUUGCUCUACUUCUGCAUUGAUCUUAUUUUGUCUGCUGCACUGCUGUUUUCUUGCCACAUGUAGAUUGCCUCUGGCUGUUAAAUCUGUUCAUUUGAAACGAGAUUCUGUGUGCGAGGUUCAGUAUAGACUAUUGGUGUUAAAUUUGUUGAUCUGUCAUUAGAAAAGCAAUUGGAUUUAUUUGUCUGAAUCAGAGGGCAAGCUUCCGUUCAAAUCUGAUUUGCAGAGGUAGUAGUGGAUGUACAUGGGUUAUAGUUAAAACGCCUGAUUGCUCCUUUUUCCUGGAGUCUGCUUGAGUUGUGACAUAAAAGCUACCUUCCAUAAUCCUGGGGGAAAAGAAACAUGCGAAAGGAUGUUUGUUGCAUCCAUCAAGAUCAAUGUGUAGGUUUUGUUUCCAAUAAAACAAUUUUCCAUCCCAGUGCCUUGAACGAGUAAGCCACUCCUUCUGGAAGUCAUUGUUCAGUGCUUGUAUUCAUCUUGUAGUUUCUCUGAGAUUGGGAUAGCCCAUUAAUCUUGUACUAGAUUGUACAAAACCUCUUUAACCAUUUUAUCAGAGCCUGGCAAAGGACUGUAACUUAUGACUAUCUUAGCAAUGCGUGCUUCAACUUGCUUUUCAUUUCCUUAGGACUGAGUUCAUGUGAUACAAAUGGUUUAUGUUUCAGAUUAUAUUAGCUGGAAACAUUCAUCCUUAUUCAUUACUAAUUGAGCUGCAUAAUUGAUUGAUACAAAUUGUUGUUAAUGUCUCAAUUUGUUAUUAAGGUGAUAAGGUAAAAUAUGCUACACAUUGCAUGUUUGAAAAAUUACUAAAAGAAACAACACCCAUCAGGAUAAUAAUUUCGACUAUAAUUUACUAAAGGCAUAUUUUUUUACUAUACUACAAAUAAUUCUCAAUUUAUUGAUUUUUUUUAUUAUGUAGAAAAGUGAUUGAUGAGUGUUCUUUUCAAAUUAUUGGCACCGCCAAUGUAUUUAUUCACAAUAGCUUUCAGAAGGCUUUUUACUUGUUUACAGUUAUUUCAUUCUUGCCUGUAUACAGAUAGCAUGAGCAUAUUUUUAAGUGUUUAAUAUCCACCAUAUUUCUUGAGCCAUUCAUUGACUAUGUGCAAAAAAAGAUCUUGAGCCAUUCAUUGACCAUGUGGACAAAUUACAAACCAAAUGAGUGAAUGAAUAAGCAGGUAUCCAAAUCGCCUAAAAUCAAAUGUCCCACGGUUACUAACACCUAUCAUGUAUCAAGUAUUUAAGCAUUUUACACUAAAUUACUUCCCUUCAUUGAUCCUUGAUUAACACAGAUAUUCCCUGCGCGCUAUUUAAAAAAAAAAACAAAAAGAAUAGUGUGAUAAAGUGCACAAUAAACUUGAAUAAUUACAAGUUACAGAUAAACAUCCAGAACAGAAGCACUUCAUAGUAGUUCAUAAUAUGUAUAUAUAUAAACUAAUUAGCAGCAACAAGCAGGUUUUACAGAGCCACAGAAAACCAAAUAAAAGGACCAAUAUUCAAACAACUAAGUUCAAAACAACACCAAAGGAGACGCUACGACAAUAUUUAUUUAUCCAUAACAUGCCUCGUCCUCAAGCUGACUAGAAUCACUUCUCUCCAGCAAUAAGGUCCAUGACUACACGCUUGAUGCUUCCAUUGUUCUUCUGCA